UGGGGAAUAUUGCACAAUGGGCGCAAGCCUGAUGCAGCCAUGCCGCGUGUAUGAAGAAGGCCUUCGGGUUGUAAAGUACUUUCAGCGGGGAGGAAGGCGAUAAGGUUAAUAACCUUGUCGAUUGACGUUACCCGCAGAAGAAGCACCGGCUAACUCCGUGCCAGCAGCCGCGGUAAUACGGAGGGUGCAAGCGUUAAUCGGAAUUACUGGGCGUAACGCGCACGCAGGCGGUCUGUCAAGUCGGAUGUGAAAUCCCCGGGCUCAACCUGGGAACUGCAUUCGAAUCUGGCAGGCUGGAGUCGUGUAGAGGGGGGUAGAAUUCCAGGUGUAGCGGUGAAAUGCGUAG
rnacentral:rRNA from 1 species